ACGGAAGGCAGCAGUGGGGAAUAUUGGACAAUGGGGGAAACCCUGAUCCAGCGACGCCGCGUGAGUGAAGAAGUAUUUCGGUAUGUAAAGCUCUAUCAGCAAGGAAGAAAAUGACGGUACUUGACUAAAAAGCUCCGGCUAAAUACGUGCCAGCAGCCGCGGUAAUACGUAUGGAGCAAGCGUUAUCCGGAUUUACUGGGUGUAAAGGGAGCGUAGACGGCAAAGCAAGUCCGAAGUGAAAUCCCGGGGCUCAACCCCGGAACUGCUUUGGAAACUGUUUAGCUAGAGUGCAGGAGAGGUAAGCGGAAUUCCUAGUGUAGCGGUGAAAUGCGUAGAUAUUAGGAGGAACACCAGUGGCGAAGGCGGCUUACUGGACUGUAACUGACGUUGAGGCUCGAAAGCGUGGGGAGCAAACAGGAUUAGAUACCCUGGUA
rnacentral:rRNA from 1 species